UACGUAGGGCGCAAGCGUUGUCCGGAAUUAUUGGGCGUAAAGAGCUCGUAGGCGGUCUGUCGCGUCGGUUGUGAAAGCCCACAGCUUAACUGUGGGUCUGCAUCCGAUACGGGCAGACUAGAGGCAGGUAGGGGAGCAUGGAAUUCCCGGUGUAGCGGUGAAAUGCGCAGAUAUCGGGAGGAACACCGGUGGCGAAGGCGGUGCUCUGGGCCUGUACUGACGCUGAGGAG
rnacentral:rRNA from 1 species